CCGUUGACAUCCAGAGACUUAGCAGAGAUGCUUUGGUGCCUUCGGGAACUCUGAGACAGGUGCUGCAUGGCUGUCGUCAGCUCGUGUUGUGAAAUGUUGGGUUAAGUCCGCAACGAGCGCAACCCUUAUCCUUUGUUGCCAGCGGUUCGGCCGGGAACUCAAAGGAGACUGCCGGUGAUAAACCGGAGGAAGGUGGGGAUGACGUCAAGUCAUCAUGGCCCUUACGGCCAGGGCUACACACGUGCUACAAUGGCGCAUACAAAGAGAAGCGACCUCGCGAGAGCAAGCGGACCUCAUAAAGUGCGUCGUAGUCCGGAUUGGAGUCUGCAACUCGACUCCAUGAAGUCGGAAUCGCUAGUAAUCGUAGAUCAGAAUGCUACGGUGAAUACGUUCCCGGGCCUUGUACACACCGCCCGUCACACCAUGGGAGUGGGUUGCAAAAGAAGUAGGUAGCUUAACCUUCGGGAGGGCGCUUACCACUUUGUGAUUCAUGACUGGGGUGAAGUCGUAACAAGGUAAGCGUACGUGU
rnacentral:rRNA from 1 species